AUCCAGCUGACGAAUCCCAGAUAGGACGAAACGCGCGUUCCCGAU
rnacentral:hammerhead_ribozyme from 1 species